rnacentral:rRNA from 1 species
AGGCGGCGACGGGUAGCCGGCCUGAGAGGGUGACCGGCCACAUUGGGACUGAGAUACGGCCCAGACUCCUACGGGAGGCAGCAGUGGGGAAUAUUGCACAAUGGGCGCAAGCCUGAUGCAGCAACGCCGCGUGCGGGAUGACGGCCUUCGGGUUGUAAACCGCUUUCAGCAGGGACGAAGCUUUUUGUGACGGUACCUGCAGAAGAAGCACCGGCUAACUACGUGCCAGCAGCCGCGGUGAUACGUAGGGUGCGAGCGUUGUCCGGAUUUAUUGGGCGUAAAGGGCUCGUAGGCGGUUGAUCGCGUCGGAAGUGGAAACUUGAUGCUUAACGUUGAGCGUGCUUUCGAUACGGGUUGACUUGAGGAAGGUAGGGGAGAAUGGAAUUCCUGGUGGAGCGGUGGAAUGCGCAGAUAUCAGGAGGAACACCAGUGGCGAAGGCGGUUCUCUGGACCUUUCCUGACGCUGAGGAGCGAAAGCGUGGGGAGCGAACAGGCUUAGAUACCCUGGUAGUCCACGCUGUAAACGGUGGGUACUAGGUGUGGGGUCCAUUCCACGGAUUCUGUGCCGUAGCUAACGCAUUAAGUACCCCGCCUGGGGAGUACGGCCGCAAGGCUAAAACUCAAAGGAAUUGACGGGGCCCCGCACAAGCGGCGGAGCAUGCGGAUUAAUUCGAUGCAACGCGAAGAACCUUACCUGGGUUUGACAUGGAUCGGGAGCUUCCAGAGAUGGUUGUGCCUCUUUUGGGGUCGGUUCACAGGUGGUGCAUGGCUGUCGUCAGCUCGUGUCGUGAGAUGUUGGGUUAAGUCCCGCAACGAGCGCAACCUCGUCCACUGUUGCCAGCAAUUCGGUUGGGGACUCAGUGGA